GGGGUAAAGGGUUUUGAGCUUGGAAUUCUUCAGGGUAAAGAGGUUUGAGAUUGAAAUUUUUCAGAGCUUGGAAUUCUUCAGGGGUGAAGGGUUUUGAGCUUGGAAUUCUUCAGGGGUAAAAGGUUUUGAGCUUGAAAUUCUUCAGGGGUAAAGGGUUCUGAGCUUGGAAUUCUUUAGGGGUGAAGGGUUUUGAGCUUGGAAUUCUUCAGGGGUAAAGGGUGUUGAGCUUGGAAUUUUGGAAUUCUUCAGGGGUAAAGAGCUUUGAGCUUGGA